GAUGAACGCUGGCGGCGUGCCUAAUACAUGCAAGUCGAGCGAACAGAUAAGGAGCUUGCUCCUUUGACGUUAGCGGCGGACGGGUGAGUAACACGUGGGUAACCUACCUAUAAGACUGGAAUAACUCCGGGAAACCGGGGCUAAUGCCGGAUAACAUUUAGAACCGCAUGGUUCUAAAGUGAAAGAUGGUUUUGCUAUCACUUAUAGAUGGACCCGCGCCGUAUUAGCUAGUUGGUAAGGUAACGGCUUACCAAGGCAACGAUACGUAGCCGACCUGAGAGGGUGAUCGGCCACACUAGAACUGAGACACGGACCAGACUCCCACGGGAGGCAGCAGUAGGGAAUCUUCCGCAAUGGGCGAAAGCCUGACGGAGCAACGCCGCGUGAGUGAUGAAGGUCUUCGGAUCGUAAAACUCUGUUAUUAGGGAAGAACAAAUGUGUAAGUAACUAUGCACGUCUUGACGGUACCUAAUCAGAAAGCCACGGCUAACUACGUG
rnacentral:rRNA from 1 species